UACACAGCUGCCGAGGACAAGCUUCUUUUCGAGUGUUGGCGAGACAUUGGACAAGACCCAAAGACGGGCGUCGAGCAAAAGCAUUCAACCUUUUGGACUCGUGUGCACCGAAAGUUUCAUGAGUGCAAGAAGUUUCCACCUUACCAAUUUGUGAGCACGCGCGGAUGGGUCUCCAUUUCCAAGCGGUGGAGGGUGAUCCAACAAGAGUGCAACAAGUUUUGCGCCACCCUUGAGAGCGUCAAGGCCCGCCCCGUGAGCGGCAUGGACAUGCAAGACAUGGCAUUUCAAGCUUUGGAGGCAUUCAAGGUUCAACACAAUGGCAAGUGUUUCAACCUCUCCCAUUGCUAUCGGGUCAUCAAG
rnacentral:rRNA from 1 species